rnacentral:rRNA from 1 species
UGGGGAAUUUUGGACAAUGGGCGAAAGCCUGAUCCAGCAAUGCCGCGUGUGUGAAGAAGGCCUUCGGGUUGUAAAGCACUUUUGUCCGGAAAGAAAUCCUUGGCUCUAAUACAGUCGGGGGAUGACGGUACCGGAAGAAUAAGCACCGGCUAACUACGUGCCAGCAGCCGCGGUAAUACGUAGGGUGCAAGCGUUAAUCGGAAUUACUGGGCGUAAAGCGUGCGCAGGCGGUUUGCUAAGACCGAUGUGAAAUCCCCGGGCUCAACCUGGGAACUGCAUUGGUGACUGGCAGGCUAGAGUAUGGCAGAGGGGGGUAGAAUUCCACGUGUAGCAGUGAAAUGCGUAGAGAUGUGGAGGAAUACCGAUGGCGAAGGCAGCCCCCUGGCAAGUACUGACGCUCAUGCACGAAAGCGUGGGGAGCAAACNGGAUUAAUACCCUGGUAGUCCACGCCCUAAANGAUGUCAACUAGUUGUUGGGGAUUCAUUUCCUUAGUAACGUAGCUAACGCGUGAAGUUGACCG